rnacentral:rRNA from 1 species
CCUACGGGGGACAGCAGUGGGGAAUAUUGGACAAUGGGGGGAACCCUGAUCCAGCGACGCCGCGUGAGUGAAGAAGUAUUUCGGUAUGUAAAGCUCUAUCAGCAGGGAAGAAAGGAAUGACGGUACCUGACUAAGAAGCCCCGGCUAACUACGUGCCAGCAGCCGCGGUAAUACGUAGGGGGCAAGCGUUAUCCGGAUUUACUGGGUGUAAAGGGAGCGUAGACGGUUACGCAAGUCUGGAGUGAAAGGCGGGGGCCCAACCCCCGGACGGCUUUGGAAACUGUAUAACUGGAGUGCAGGAGAGGUAAGAGGAAUGCCUAGUGUAGCGGUGAAAUGCGUAGAUAUUAGAAGGAACACCAGUGGCGAAGGCGGCUUACUGGACUGUAACUGACGUUGAGGCUCGAAAGCGUGGGGAGCAAACAGGAUUAGAUACCCCAGUAGUC